AUUAAACCAUUUUAAUUGUUGGUGCAGAACUUGAAAAGUGAGAGACUUUCUCAAGAGAGAUUUUCUCAAGGGAGCUGUGCAGAGAAUGGAAAAGAUUCUCAUGUAAGUAAGACGCUAUGUUUUGCGUGAAAACUCUUACACAAUGUAUUUUCUGUUUCAUAAACAAACGACCUGAUGCUGAACAGAGCUAUGGAUUUGCACUGGGGUUUUGUCCUCUACAGAUCUCAUCUGAGACUCUGGGGCUAAGGAAAAAAAAAAAAAGAAGAUUUUACUUUGUGGGUUUUUUGUUUUGUUUAUUUUGCUUCUUAACAAACAGAAGUUUACACAUGUAGAGACAGAGGAAGGAAGCAAAUAAGUCUUAGCACAAGUAAACAACUUGGAGACCUCACUGCUCCUUAUACAUAAGGAAAAUAAGGAUAACUGAGUCCAAGUUUUGCCUCUGUGAAUAGUUUCAGGAUCUAAAGAACAACUAAAUGAGACGUAGAGACUGAGUUGGCUUUAUACUAAAAAUACUCACCUACCAACAGAAAAAAACCAACACCGCAAAUAGCAGAAGUUAUAAGUAAUACAUAAGGUUAAUCAGAAUUGCAUUGGCUGCUACAGUGGCUGCAGAAUCACUUUCAGUUAAGGAGCUGCUUGUACGAGUUGACUAACGAAUGCUCUGGAAUCUCUUUGAAAAGGCAAAAGUAAACAUAAAAUGGAUUUUGUUAAACAUAUUUUUAAAAUUUGUUAACAAGAAAACUAAUGGUAAUGUUUUAAGUCUUCAUUUAGUAGAAGGCGAUCAAGUACCUACAGGUAAUGAAUAAAUAAUACAUGAUGCAAAAUAAUUUCUUCAGUGAAAUAACAAAAUGAUUGGAAGAUGAGCUUUAAUAUUUAUCAUUAUUUCUGGCAUUAAAUAUGCUUAGCUCUUGAGAUGCAUACAAUCUCGCCCACAUUUUUUUCAUGAAAAUCCAUUCUGGGAGGAAUCACUGAAACCUUGCCCAGGGUGACAACUGAGACACCAAGCUCGCAAGUCAGUAGUUCUGACUCUCUCUCCUGCCAAAAUCACAACAGGGUGAUUUAUGGACAUUCUUACAAGAGAUCUGCCUGACUGGGCCUCAAAGAAAACAUCAGUUGUGAUACAGGCCCAAUGUAUCCCUUGCCAGGGAAUUUCAGGAGAUGUCUCCCCUGGAAGCCCGGAGCAAGCCAGCUUCUGUGCACAUGACCUUGGUGACUUGGCCUGGGGUGAAGGAAGGCCUACAUUUUGAAUUCCUUUCUGGCCCCAUGACUCAGGGAAUAUCCGAGUAAUUAGCAGCGCCGCUUCAGAUUUGGAGGACUGAGAACCAAAUUCCACUGCUGUCUGAGGAAAAUGAAAAUCAUAUCUCCUAGCUCUGUAGGAGAACCUCUCUAACACGUCCUUCUCUUGCUUCCCUCCAGGAUGAGCUGCUCCACUGUGCACUAAUGAAAGAAAACGGUGGGCCAGUGGCUAAGAGCUCCUGUGGGAGGUAGAGAUCUGGGUUUCAGACCCAACAGCUACCAAAAGGAAGGCCUAACUAAGGCAUAAAGAUGAGUCACUUCUGCUCACCCUUUUGGUGUAGUAUUUCUGGAGGAUGUGACACUCGUAACUUGGCAACAACAGCAUCCAUGACAUCACUUAAUCUUUUUGCAACAUUUGGCAGCCAUGUAAAAUCCCUUACAAGAAAAAGAGCUCACACCACAGACAUUGCAUUUGUAAGAAAAUAACAUUCAUGUGGCUAUGUUCUCUGCUACUCUGCUUGUCAUCCCCUCCCCAGGGAUUUUACUGAAACAUGGGCUUAUUUCAAGCAAAUUUGAUAGAGAGGCUAAAUGCCUCAAAAUACCAAGUUCCUACAAUUGCUACAAAAAUUAAUGGCCAAGUAGAACAGAGACAUCCGAGAUAGCAACACUGUAAAGAGACUGAUGUAUACUCGGCGUUAAUAUUUUACAUCAGAAAAUAAACAGAGGAGAGAGCCAUCAGAAAUCAGACUUCCUAAGUUCCAUUGCUCCUGAAAUUGCUAACUCCUACUUGUUAUUACUUGUCUCAGUAACGCUGCCUUUUGCCUCAGGCCUCUGUUAUAAAUGUUUCUGAGCAUAUUCUCUCAGAAGGAAACCAAUUAUUUUAAUAACUCCUUUUAAUAAAAGUACAAACAUUGC
ensembl:lncRNA